AGUUGGUGGAGCGAUUUGUCUGGUUAAUUCCGUUAACGAACGAGACCUCAGCCUAUUAAUUAGUUGUAUUUAUUCUUUGUACUUGUACAGACGUCUCUGUGCAGUCAUCUUGCCUCGGAAGGCGUUUGGGUUAAUCCCCAUCACCUUUCCGCAGCGUCAUUUGAUUGUCCUAGUCGCGCUGUCUCGUACAUUUUUUGAAUAGAAAUGUUUGACUUUAAUCUUUACUUUUAAUUAAUUAGAAGUAUUGAUUUUUAUUUAGUUGAAUUCGACUUCUUAGAGGGACAAUCUGUUUUUCAGCAGAAGGAAGUUUGAGGCAAUAACAGG
rnacentral:rRNA from 1 species